GACGAACGCUGGCGGCGUGCUUAACACAUGCAAGUCGAACGGAAAGGCCCUGCUUUUGUGGGGUGCUCGAGUGGCGAACGGGUGAGUAACACGUGAGUAACCUGCCCUUGACUUUGGGAUAACUUCAGGAAACUGGGGCUAAUACCGGAUAGGAGCUCCUGCUGCAUGGUGGGGGUUGGAAAGUUUCGGCGGUUGGGGAUGGACUCGCGGCUUAUCAGCUUGUUGGUGGGGUAGUGGCUUACCAAGGCUUCGACGGGUAGCCGGCCUGAGAGGGUGACCGGCCACAUUGGGACUGAGAUACGGCCCAGACUCCUACGGGAGGCAGCAGUGGGGAAUAUUGCACAAUGGGCGGAAGCCUGAUGCAGCAACGCCGCGUGCGGGAUGACGGCCUUCGGGUUGUAAACCGCUUUCGCCUGUGACGAAGCGUGAGUGACGGUAAUGGGUAAAGAAGCACCGGCUAACUACGUGCCAGCAGCCGCGGUGAUACGUAGGGUGCGAGCGUUGUCCGGAUUUAUUGGGCGUAAAGGGCUCGUAGGUGGUUGAUCGCGUCGGAAGUGUAAUCUUGGGGCUUAACCCUGAGCGUGCUUUCGAUACGGGUUGACUUGAGGAAGGUAGGGGAGAAUGGAAUUCCUGGUGGAGCGGUGGAAUGCGCAGAUAUCAGGAGGAACACCAGUGGCGAAGGCGGUUCUCUGGGCCUUUCCUGACGCUGAGGAGCGAAAGCGUGGGGAGCGAACAGGCUUAGAUACCCUGGUAGUCCACGCUGUAAACGGUGGGUACUAGGUGUGGGGUCCAUUCCACGGGUUCCGUGCCGUAGCUAACGCUUUAAGUACCCCGCCUGGGGAGUACGGCCGCAAGGCUAAAACUCAAAGGAAUUGGCGGGGCCCCGCACAAGCGGCGGAGCAUGCGGAUUAAUUCGAUGCAACGCGUAGAACCUUACCUGGGUUUGACAUGGAUCGGGAGUGCUCAGAGAUGGGUGUGCCUCUUUUGGGGUCGGUUCACAGGUGGUGCAUGCCUGUCGUCAGCUCGUGUCGUGAGAUGUUGGGUUAAGUCCCGCAACGAGCGCAACCCUUGUUCACUGUUGCCAGCACGUUAUGGUGGGGACUCAGUGGAGACCGCCGGGGUCAACUCGGAGGAAGGUGGGGAUGACGUCAAGUCCUCAUGCCCCUUAUGUCCAGGGCUUCACGCAUGCUACAAUGGCUGGUACAGAGAGUGGCGAGCCUGUGAGGGUGAGCGAAUCUCGGAAAGCCGGUCUCAGUUCGGAUUGGGGUCUGCAACUCGACCUCAUGAAGUCGGAGUCGCUAGUAAUCGCAGAUCAGCAACGCUGCGGUGAAUACGUUCCCGGG
rnacentral:rRNA from 1 species